GUGGGGAAUAUUCCGCAAUGGACGAAAGUCUGACGGAGCAACGCCGCGUGAGUGAUGAAGGUUUUCGGACUGUAAAGCUCUGUUGUUUGGGACGAAAGUGCCUGUUGCGAACAGUUACGGGUAUUGACGGUACUAAACGAGGAAGCCACGGCUAACUACGUGCCAGCAGCCGCGGUAAUACGUAGGUGGCAAGCGUUGUCCGGCAUUAUUGGGCGUAAAGAGCAUGUAGGCGGGAAUCUAAGUCUGUUGUUAAAAUGCGGGGCUCAACCCCGUAUUGCGAUGGAAACUGGGUUUCUUGAGUGCAGGAGAGGAAAGGGGAAUUCCCAGUGUAGCGGUGAAAUGCGUAGAUAUUGGGAGGAACACCAGUGGCGAAGGCGCCUUUCUGGACUGUGUCUGACGCUGAGAUGCGAAAGCCAGGGUAGCGAACGGGAUUAGAUACCCGGGUAGUCC
rnacentral:rRNA from 1 species